AUCUCCAGAAUAGAGGAGAAGAUAGACCAGCCGCACAGCCAAAAUCUGUGGCACUGUUUUGGGCAUGAAAGCCAUGCUUGCGGUCGGUCAAAAUGUGACUUCCACAAAGCUUUUGAACCCCUGCUCUGAUUAUUGGAUAUGUUGUUUACCCAGAUCAGGGCUAUCCAGGGAUGUGUGGUGUUUUGGGGUGUUUUCUGUGUUUUGUGAAAAAUGUGUGUUUUCUGCCUAUGGGUAAUUGAGUUAGUCCAUUGUGUUUGUUAAUUGUAUCACAGGCAGAGGGGAGGGUUUGUGUACAUUAUCUG